rfam:Corchorus capsularis cultivar CVL-1 contig11123, whole genome shotgun sequence.
UGGGGCGUGGUCAAGUGGUAAGGCAACAGGUUUUGGUCCCGCUAUUCGGAGGUUCGAAUCCUUCCGUCCCAG